rnacentral:rRNA from 1 species
CGAACGGGUGAGUAAUGCGUGACCAACCUCGCCCCAUGCUCCAGAAUAGCUCUUGGAAACGGGUGGUAAUGCUGGAUGCUCCAACUCGACGCAUGUCUUGUUGGGAAAGUGUUUAGUGGCAUGGGAUGGGGUCGCGUCCUAUCAGCUUGUAGGCGGGGUAAUGGCCCACCUAGGCUUCGACGGGUAGCCGGCCUGAGAGGGCGGACGGCCACAUUGGGACUGAGAUACGGCCCAGACUCCUACGGGAGGCAGCAGUU